rnacentral:tRNA from 1 species
UCCUUGGUAGCUUAAUUGGUAAAGCGGUAGGCUGUUAACCUAUAGAUUAGGGGUUCGAGUCCCCUCCAAGGAU